GUGAAUCAUCAAAUCUUUGAACGCACAUUGCACUCUCUGCUAUUCGUAUGCCUGUUUUAGGUUCAGCCUAAAAAAAAUCUACAUACUCGCUGUUUCGCGGUGACAUUCGUCGGCAAUUGGGUCAUCUUAAACCUUUUGGUUUUAAGCGGCUUAAAAUUUUCUUUACGAUUCCACGAACGUUUCUAAGAUUUACUUACACGUUUAAGGUAUCGAUCUUUAUUAGACUUGGCCUUUGCAUCCGAUCACGUCCAUAAAUAUUUCUUGAACUGACCUCAUACAG
rnacentral:misc_RNA from 1 species